AUGCAAGGAAAAAUAAUUACACAAGUGUAUGUGUGUUAUGUACAAUAUUCCUUCACAUCGACACACUUUAACGUCACAAAAUCAGAAUCAAAUCAAAGAAUUCGGCAAAACAAAUUAAAGAAUCAGAAUCCACACGGAAAAUGCAAUCAAUUCGACUAUUCAAUUUCAAGAAAAGCUAAAAGUGAAAAAUCACUUAAAAUAAGUGCUUAA